rnacentral:rRNA from 1 species
UGGGGAAUAUUGCGCAAUGGGGGCAACCCUGACGCAGCAAUACCGCGUGAGUGAAGAAGGUUUUCGGAUCGUAAAGCUCUGUUAUUGGGGAAGAAAAAAAGGCGGUACCCAAGAAGAAAGUCCCGGCUAACUACGUGCCAGCAGCCGCGGCAAUACGUAGGGGACAAGCGUUGUCCGGAUUUACUGGGCGUAAAGGGCACGCAGGCGGUUUUUUAAGUCAGAUGUGAAAGGUACCGGCUCAACCGGUGACAUGCAUUUGAAACUGAAAGACUUGAGUAUUGGAGAGGCAAGUGGAAUUCCUAGUGUAGCGGUGAAAUGCGUAGAUAUUAGGAGGAACACCGGUGGCGAAGGCGGCUUGCUGGACAAAUACUGACGCUGAGACGCGAAAGCGUGGGGAGCAAACA